rfam:Eucalyptus grandis cultivar BRASTZ1 unplaced genomic scaffold scaffold_9, whole genome shotgun sequence.
ACCUGAAGAGCACGUCAGAUAAGCCAGGAUGACCUGCCUGGUGAUCAUGCAAUCUUAUGCAUAAAUGGACGAGAAUGGCGUUCAUAAUCGAAGCCUCUUGCACAAAUCAGGCAAGUCAUCCUUGGCUAACAAACCAGACUCGUCAUG